UUCUUAAAGGGGUAAUGUGUACAAAUACAUAGUUCAAAAAAUUUAAAAAUAUAACUAUAAAAGUAUGUGGCAAAAUCCCAUUCAUAUCCUAUUCUCCCUCCACAGCCAAACACUUUUAAUUGGUUUCUUAUGUAUCAUUUUGGAAUUUAUAUUUGCAAAUACACAUGUAUAUUCUUAUUCUACUCUUCCCUCUCAACACAGAAAGUAGCAGACCAUAUAUAUUAUACCAUUCCUUGUUCCUUUUUAAAAACACACACAAUAUAUCUGAGUUCUUCUACAUGAGUACAUAGGUCUUUCUCAUUCUUCUUUACAACUACACAGUAUUCCAUCGUUUGGAUGUACCACAGUUUAUUUAACCAGUUCCCUGUUGGUGGACACUGAAGUCAUCCUUAUCAUACUAUCACAAACAAUAUUGGCAAGCAUAACCACCUACACACACCAAGUUCAUUUCUGAAUGUGCCUUUGAUGAAGCUUCUAUUUAAAUCUCCACAAGAUCACAAGGCUGAAAAGUUAGCCCCUUUUUCAGUUUUCAUUAUGUACAGCAGUAUGUAGCAAAAGACUCCCUUGAGCAAAGCAAAUGUACUCUUUGAGGAUUUAUUUCAUAAAAUAAAUGGAUAAACAGAACACCCAGCAUAACAAUUUCUAUUUAACAAUGCAUAUGUAUGUAUACAAUACAUGCAUAUGCAUAGAAAGUAUAAAAUAAAUCCGUCAAAGCAUUAAGCAUUGUCUCUGUAUGCUGGACCUAUGGAGUGCUUUGUAGAUUCCCCCUCCUUGUCUAUCAGUUCUAACUUCACAACAGUGAAUAUGUACAAUUUUUGCAAUGUAAAAUUUCAAAAAAUGUUAACUCAAAUUAAGCUGGAUACAUUCUUUCAGUCUGUCCUACAUUUGUAUAGUGCUCCAGUGUGUUCAAAUAUCACUUCAUUUAAAAAUAUUUUUUUUUCAAAUAUAGAGACAGACAGGGUCUUGCUCAGUCGACCAAGUUGGUCUUGAACUCCUAGAUUCUCCUGGAUCCUCCCACCUCCGCCUCCCAAAGUGCUGGUAUUACAAGUGUGAGCCAUCACGCCCAGCCAGCUUCAUUUGAGAAACCUUUCCCAAGCACUCCAUAUAUUACUAAUUAUUCCUUUCUUCAUUUUUAUAUAGGAUUUUCUUCAUAUCUCUAUUACCUCACUUGUCACAUGAUAAUCAGUUACUCACCCAUCAGUCUCCCUUGAUUGCUCGUGGGCUCCUUGAGCAAUGUGCGACCUUGAACAGUGUGUGACACAUACAUGCUUCCUACACAGAGAAGGAAAUGAUUUCGCUACAGUGUCAUCAUUCCCAGAAUUCAAUACCUGUAUUUCUAAAUCAUUCUAGAUACUCUGCCAACAACUUGAGAAUGUUAUGCUCUUUCCCUAAAACUUCCAUCCAUUCCAGCCAUAGUUAACUCAAUUGUGACAUGCUCUCUGGCCAAGCCCAUUUGUAGUUUUUUCUUUAGGUGAUUUUUAAUUUUAAUUUUUGAUUUUGAUUGUUUGCUUUUUGGUAUUUUUUAAUCUAGGAGUGUUUGGUAAACUUCACCAUGUCUAUAUCUCUGUGUCUUUGCACCUGCUGGUCUCUGCUUGGAAUGAUGUCUCAAGGUUUUAUUCACCUGGAAAGAAUUCCUACUCACCCUUAAAGACUCAGCUUAAAUAACCCCUUCUCUGGUAAACCUUUAUAUUCUCCCAUUCUUUCAGUAAGAGUUGAGAAUUCCUCUACUCUUGAAAUGUUUGUGCCUCUAUUACUAUGUAUCAGGCAGUGAACUAAGCGUCUAGGAUAGAAAGAUGAAACUGUAGAACCUGCCCUCAUGGAGCGCAUGGUCUAGUAUGGAAAACAGCCAUAUGAACAAAUAACCACACUAUAAUAUUAAAUACAAUACCAAAAGGGAAAUGUAUUGAAUAUUUGACAUGUGUCAAUUACCUUGUUAGAUACUUUAUUAACAAUUAUCUAUGAUCAUAUUAGAUACGUAUUUGAAUUGGACAGAAGGCCAUGAAACUCUAGGACUGCUAGAGUUUGUUAUGCUCUCAAUUGUCUUCUAAAGAAACUGUCUCCUAAUGGUUCUUUCUGAAUAUGCUUUAGUCAUACAACUAUUGUGCAACUGUAGCAUACACAAAAAGCAUAUCUGUAGCAUACUCAUGUGACCAAUAAUGCAUUAAACCAACCUUACUUCUUUGGCCACAAGUAACUGGACCAAGGCUCAGUGUUUCAGCUAAGGACAACAUAUAGGUUGAACUUCAGGGACAAUCGCCAAGGACAUGGCAUGGCUCAAAAUUCUCUCUAAUAGGGGCCUUCCGUUUUUAGAAGGUGAGAGGCUAAUCCAAUCAGAUAUUCUCUCUUGGAAAAUACAAAUGUUGGGUGAACAAAAGAAAAGAGGGCAGGUUUUCAGAGCUCAAAUCUUAUCCUAAAUACUGCUAAAUUAAUGUUCUGUGAAGUUUUGAAAGUACUAGGGCCAAGAAACAAUAUGGCUACUUAGAUGACUUCCCAUCCAAGUUUACAUUCGGCCCUCAUUACCAAAGGUGAUAAGUGUGUGCCUCUUCCUUGCAACCCAUCAGGGUCUAACACAUCAUAUCGCCACUUCUGAAAUUAGGAAAUAGGCUCAGAAGUCCAAGAGCUUGACCAGAGUAAUUCACUUGGUAGGUAGCAGAACCAGAAUUCAAAGAGCAAGUCGGCGUGAUUCUUCUCCAAUAUCCUGCCAGUUACAUGGGCAAGUGGCCUCAAAAUCAACAAAAGACAAGUAGAGGUUGACAUGUGUCAAUGGAAAGAGGCUCAAAAGGAAGAGUUUAUACACAAGAAUAGAACAGAAACGUUCUGGAAGUAUGUCUGGGGAUGUGAAGUAGGAAGGGGCACACCAGGUUUCACCUUGGUCAAGUGACUGUCUAAUUCCCCGGAGCUCCAGACUUAGCUAUCGGUCUUUCUCACUCUAAUAUAAAAUCCACAGGGCAGGACCUUAAUCUCUAGCUUGUUCACCAUAGAUUAAAGCAGAGUCUGGCUUAAUAGUAAGUGCUUAAUAAAUAUAUGAAUGAAUAAAUGAACGAAAAUUCCACGUUGUUGGGGGAAGGGGUUAUCAUGAACCAGACCCUAGCAGUCACUUACAAAUACAGUUGAUCCUCAUUAUUUGUGGAUCCUAUAUUUGCAAAUUUGCUUACUUGCUAAAAUGUGUUUGUAAUCUCCAAAUUAAUACUUGUGGAGCUUUCAAGGUGAUUCAUGGACAUACACACAGUAGUGAAAAAUCUGUCACUCCUUAUGCACGUUCCAAGCUAAGGUCAAAUAAGAUGACCCUGGGCCUUCUUGUUUCAGCUGUCAUACAAAGAUGACCCAAGGACAGAGGCAGCAGAGGGCAGUGCAGGGUAGUGCAAGAAGCUCUGGCUCUGGGACUAAUUGGACGAGGUCUGAAUCUUAACUCUGGCACCUGUUAGUGAAGCAGCCUCAAGCAAAUCACUUAAUGCUUCUGUACUUCCUUUAUUGUUUUGUAAAUAAAGAAAAUUCAAUCUACCAAG
rnacentral:lncRNA from 1 species